GCAGGGGAGAGGCGGUCCGGAUCUCCUCCAUCCACAGCCUUGGUGCCGGGGUCCAACCAUCGGCGAGCAUGGGUGUUCACGUCGAAUGGGGUCUUGGUCUCGCGAUGGAAAUUGAGCAUGGGGAUGAAGAUGGUGCGGUCAUGGCCCUAACGGAAGCGGCCGAAGGACGGGGGCUCCGAGGCGGAGAGGAUGCUAAAAGUAGGGGGG
rnacentral:lncRNA from 1 species